rnacentral:lncRNA from 1 species
GGGGGGAAAAAAGACGCGUCCCUGGUGGAAGAGAGAAGACUGACACAACAGCAGACUGAGUGUUUUUCAGUUCUGAUUAGACACUAGUGUUGAGAUGUCUGUCUGUCAUGAUAGCAUGUACUGAGUCGGGGCCUGUACCAGAUAAGCACAUUAAACUAUAAUCCAUAAACGUAAGGUAACAACCGAGACCUAAUGGUGCUGUGACAGCAACGCGAUUGAGUUUGAGACAGUGAAAAUACAUAUGGUAUGUUGUAUCUGAACAGGUUAGCUAACGAGCUAAAGUUACUUAGCACAGAUGAAAGUUAAAACAAAGACGUUUAGCAAACUGUUAAAGCACACAAACCAUCGUCAUAUGAGAGAUCCG